rnacentral:rRNA from 1 species
GAUGAACGCUGGCGGCGUGCCUAAUACAUGCAAGUCGAGCGAACGGACGAGAAGCUUGCUUCUCUGAUGUUAGCGGCGGACGGGUGAGUAACACGUGGAUAACCUACCUAUAAGACUGGGAUAACUUCGGGAAACCGGAGCUAAUACCGGAUAAUAUUUUGAACCGCAUGGUUCAAAAGUGAAAGACGGUCUUGCUGUCACUUAUAGAUGGAUCCGCGCUGCAUUAGCUAGUUGGUAAGGUAACGGCUUACCAAGGCAACGAUGCAUAGCCGACCUGAGAGGGUGAUCGGCCACACUGGAACUGAGACACGGUCCAGACUCCUACGGGAGGCAGCAGUAGGGAAUCUUCCGCAAUGGGCGAAAGCCUGACGGAGCAACGCCGCGUGAGUGAUGAAGGUCUUCGGAUCGUAAAACUCUGUUAUUAGGGAAGAACAUAUGUGUAAGUAACUGUGCACAUCUUGACGGUACCUAAUCAGAAAGCCACGGCUAACUACGUGCCAGCAGCCGCGGUAAUACGUAGGUGGCAAGCGUUAUCCCGAAUUAUUGGGCGUAAAGCGCGCGUAGCGGUUUUUUAGUCUGAUGUGAAAGCCCACGGCUCAACCGUGGAGGGUCAUUGGAAACUGGAAAACUUGAGUGCAGAAGAGGAAAGUGGAAUUCCAUGUGUAGCGGUGAAAUGCGCAGAGAUAUGGAGGAACACCAGUGGCGAAGGCGACUUUCUGGUCUGUAACUGACGCUGAUGUGCGAAAGCGUGGGGAUCAAACAGGAUUAGAUACCCUGGUAGUCCACGCCGUAAACGAUGAGUGCUAAGUGUUAGGGGGUUUCCGCCCCUUAGUGCUGCAGCUAACGCAUUAAGCACUCCGCCUGGGGAGUACGACCGCAAGGUUGAAACUCAAAGGAAUUGACGGGGACCCGCACAAGCGGUGGAGCAUGUGGUUUAAUUCGAAGCAACGCGAAGAACCUUACCAAAUCUUGACAUCCUUUGACAACUCUAGAGAUAGAGCCUUCCCCUUCGGGGGACAAAGUGACAGGUGGUGCAUGGUUGUCGUCAGCUCGUGUCGUGAGAUGUUGGGUUAAGUCCCGCAACGAGCGCAACCCUUAAGCUUAGUUGCCAUCAUUAAGUUGGGCACUCUAAGUUGACUGCCGGUGACAAACCGGAGGAAGGUGGGGAUGACGUCAAAUCAUCAUGCCCCUUAUGAUUUGGGCUACACACGUGCUACAAUGGACAAUACAAAGGGCAGCGAAACCGCGAGGUCAAGCAAAUCCCAUAAAGUUGUUCUCAGUUCGGAUUGUAGUCUGCAACUCGACUACAUGAAGCUGGAAUCGCUAGUAAUCGUAGAUCAGCAUGCUGCGGUGAAUACGUUCCCGGGUCU